rnacentral:rRNA from 1 species
CAGGAUUAGAUACCCUGGUAGUCCACGCCGUAAACGAUGGAUACUCGCCGCGGGCGCCAGACGGUCCGUGGCUUAGCGAAAGCGUUAAGUAUCCCACCUGGGGAGUACGCCCGCAAGGGUGAAACUCAAAAGAAUUGACGGGGGCCCGCACAAGUGGUGGAGCAUGUGGUUUAAUUCGAUGAUACGCGAGGAACCUUACCUAGGCUAGAAUGCGCGCGACCGCGCCAGAGAUGGCGCUUUCCUUCGGGACGCAAAGCAAGGUGCUGCAUGGCCGUCGUCAGCUCGUGCCGUGAGGUGUUGGGUUAAGUCCCGCAACGAGCGCAACCCCUAUGUUUAGUUGCCAGCGCGUCAAGGCGGGGACUCUAGACAGACUGCCUGCGCAAGCAGCGAGGAAGGCGGGGACGACGUCAGGUCAUCAUGGCCCUUACGCCUAGGGCUACACACGUGCUACAAUGGGCGGUACAGCGGGUUGCCAACCGGCGACGGUGCGCCAAUCCCGAAAAGCCGUUCUCAGUUCGGAUCGGAGUCUGCAACUCGACUCCGUGAAGCUGGAAUCACUAGUAAUCGCGUAUCAGCAACGACG